GGAGGUCUGUUUCCUCAUCCUUGGAUGCUGGACUGGUUUUGGGACUUGCUUUGACUAAUACUGGAGGAGAAAUUGUGCCAGUUCUGAAUGUAGUUGCAGCUUUCACUCUCACACUCUUGGAACCCUUGGACUGCUUUGUCCAGCCUGUGGAGGAUGAGAGACCACAUAGAGAGAGACCCCAGUCAUCACAGCCGUCUCACCUGAGGCUAUUAUGAGUCAGCCAGUCCCUGCUGACCCAUAAGGUAACUGUGGCUGCAUGAGCAAGUCCAGACAAGACCAGUAGUCCAUGGCCCAGACCAGAAGCACAGUCAAGAUAAGGCGGUGGUCAACCUGUAAAACUGCUCCAGAACUCCCAGUGAAAUAGUAAUGAGGGAAUAGCAGCAGCGCCAGCAACAGCUCUUUCUACAGAAUGAAACAUGAUGUGGACACCGGCAAUUCCAACACUCUUCCUUGAACACACAGGAAUUAUCCAGCACACAGAUUGAAACCACCAAUCCCUUCUGUCAGAGCACAGCUAUGAAGAAAAGGCCCCCCUUUUCUUACCUACAGUCCUGUAUUUUUGACAACAUUAUCCGAUGUAGAAGACCUGUUACUGUCUUGUGUACACUGGAGAGAAAAAAAAGCAGAAUCGGUGGGCCUCGUAGAAAUCUCCAGUGGUCCCUUAAACAGGAGCUAAGGGAGCAGGCUGGAGGCAAAGAGGGGGAAAAACAACAGCAAAUACAAACCCAAAUCAAAACAAACAUGCUAACUUUAGUCCAUCCAGAUAUGAAAACUAUGUAGUGAAAAGGAAUCCUCCCAUAAGAAGAAAAGUGUCAUUUGUAUUUUUUCCUGGUUCUCUGAGGACGUCAGCCUUGGAGCGACACAUAAUGAAAGCUUGACAGAAAGGGAAAUGCAUAUCCUGUCUACUUAAUGAAACCCCCAACCCAAACCAAAGAAACAGAAAAUUUUAUAUGCGCUCUUAAAUAAAAUAGGU